AAACGCUAAAAGCAUAAAAUCUUUUGCCACUAACCCAUCAUUCAUUUUUUACCCUAAGCAUAUUUCCUUGACCUUCAGCUUUUAAAAAUCUCCACUUUUGAAGUCUCAUCCCCAAUAAAUUCAUCGCCACCACGCCAUUCUCGAUCAUUUUUAUUCCAAUCAGAUUCAAAGCUCCAUUCUCAGUCACUCUCGUGACAAGGCUUUGACGAGCCAUUGAGUUGCGCCGUGACUUCCUCUCAACAAACAUCCAUGGCCCAAAAGAUUCUGCCAGCUCCACCACCUUAUCUUUUUUCAAUGAGUCACUCACCGUCAACUUCUUACCCACAUCAGUAUUCUUUGUUGACCUAAUGCCAAGGCACAGGUCUUUCAUGUGACCAAACCGACCACAUGAAAAGUAAACAAACGGUAAUGAUUCAAACUCAACCCUUUGCACCACUCUGUUAACUAGGAUCUAAGAGACCAGAGGUUUUCCCAGAUCGAUAUACACUGCCAUCCUGGAAAAUUUCCCCCUUGAACCCUUGUUCGUUGUAAAUCAAGCUUGUUAUAGUACCGACUAAGCCCUCGAUUUCGUCCAAGAUUUGACGUUUGUAGAGAAGUCCCAGCAAACAAAGAAACCGAACCCAAACCAUUGUGUAGUUGGGGAAAGCCUGAAGGGGGUUAAACUUCAAAGUCCACGGUUGCACUGUGAGAUACUGACCAAGCACAAUCCACAACCUUUGGGUUUUUGGGGUUUUUAGUCCACUAUAAGUUUGAGAGCCAGCUACAGUUUGUCAUUUACAAGUAAAAGUUGUAAACAUGAACAACAAGUGCAAGGCAGUUUACUUACUGGAGGAGCUCCAAGUGCCAUUUGGAAGUUAAAUCGCCGGACAAGCAUUGCAACUGCUACAACAGUCUGUACGUCAAAGUAACUCUUCUUCAGGUUAUACAAUACCAAUCACCAGUGGCCAGAAUUUGUCAUGUUUCAACUAGAACAAUAAAGUAUGAUACCCCAAUACAAAAAACUUAACUCUCAUGUUUUGAUACUGAGUACUGACUGAAUUUUUUUUCAAUAAAAAAUACCUCGAAAGA